rnacentral:sRNA from 1 species
GCAUGCGCUCCACUGCAGCAAAGAGCAGCCGCAGCCUCUGCCUCGGCCACCACCGCUGCUGGGAAAGAGUCCUGGGGCUGCUGACGCGGUUGGGAGGAGCCUCGCCUUUAAUGCACCAGCCGCCUCCAGCCUCCUGCAGCAGCAGCAGCAGCAGCAGCAGCUGCGAGUGCGCGCGUGUGGGUGUGAGGGCUCGGACCAUGGUGCAGUCCCACUGGCUCCCCUGCCCCCCUCUCCUGUGAGACUGGCUGCGGGGAGGGAUCAUGGAUACUUGUCUGCCGGCUUCUGGUUCCCACGCAAGUAAGCCUGCUGUCAAUGGAGGAGGACAUUGAUACCCGCAAAAUCAACAACAGUUUCCUGCGCGACCACAGCUAUGCGACCGAAGCUGACAUUAUCUCUACGGUAGAAUUCAACCACACGGGAGAAUUACUAGCGACAGGGGACAAGGGGGGUCGGGUUGUAAUAUUUCAACGAGAGCAGGAGAGUAAAAAUCAAGUUCAUCGUAGGGGUGAAUACAAUGUUUACAGCACAUUCCAGAGCCAUGAACCUGAGUUCGAUUACCUGAAGAGUUUAGAAAUAGAAGAAAAAAUCAAUAAAAUAAGAUGGCUCCCCCAGCAGAAUGCAGCUUACUUUCUUCUGUCUACUAAUGAUAAAACUGUGAAGCUGUGGAAAGUCAGCGAGCGUGAUAAGAGGCCAGAAGGCUACAAUCUGAAAGAUGAGGAGGGCCGGCUCCGGGAUCCUGCCACCAUCACAACCCUGCGGGUGCCUGUCCUGAGACCCAUGGACCUGAUGGUGGAGGCCACCCCACGAAGAGUAUUUGCCAACGCACACACAUAUCACAUCAACUCCAUAUCCGUCAACAGCGACUAUGAAACCUACAUGUCUGCUGAUGACCUGAGGAUUAACCUUUGGAACUUUGAAAUAACCAAUCAAAGUUUUAAUAUUGUGGAUAUUAAGCCAGCCAACAUGGAGGAGCUCACGGAAGUGAUCACAGCAGCCGAGUUCCACCCCCAUCAUUGCAACACCUUCGUGUACAGCAGCAGCAAAGGGACAAUCCGGCUGUGUGACAUGCGGGCAUCUGCCCUGUGUGACAGGCACACCAAAUUUUUUGAAGAGCCGGAAGAUCCAAGCAACAGAUCAUUUUUCUCUGAAAUUAUCUCUUCGAUUUCGGAUGUGAAGUUCAGCCACAGUGGGAGGUAUAUCAUGACCAGGGACUAUUUGACCGUUAAAGUCUGGGAUCUCAACAUGGAAAACCGCCCCAUCGAGACUUACCAGGUUCAUGACUACCUCCGCAGCAAGCUGUGUUCCCUCUAUGAAAAUGACUGCAUUUUUGAUAAAUUUGAGUGUGUGUGGAAUGGGUCAGACAGUGUCAUCAUGACGGGCUCCUACAACAACUUCUUCAGGAUGUUCGACAGAAACACCAAGCGUGAUGUGACCCUUGAGGCUUCGAGGGAAAACAGCAAGCCCCGGGCUAUCCUCAAACCCCGAAAAGUGUGUGUGGGGGGCAAGCGGAGAAAAGACGAGAUCAGUGUUGACAGUCUGGACUUUAGCAAAAAGAUCUUGCAUACAGCUUGGCAUCCUUCAGAAAAUAUUAUAGCAGUGGCGGCUACAAAUAACCUAUAUAUAUUCCAGGACAAGGUUAACUAGGUGGACAAGUUAUUACUUAAUAAUCUCACAUACUGAAUACUAGUCAAACAAGUUUUUAAAUGUUUCUUUGGGUCUUCAUUUGAUGCAUUGACUUUAAUUUCCCUAUGCAGGAAAUGAUUGGAAUAGAAUUAAAAGGAGUCCAACAUUCCCAGCUCCCCAGUUCUAAGAAACUUUUGUCAAACCCAAUAGGUUUGGGACACUUUUGUUUAGAAUUGAAAGCUGCCAGCUAACAGUAAUUCUUCCAUAGUUGACUUGAACUUCUGAUGCUUUUAUUGCCCAGUUUUCUCUGGUGGGUACAGUGUUUUGUUCCUAGGUGUCUGCUGCGAUAAAAUGAGGUUGUCUGUAGUAUUUAAGGAGAAAAGAGAUAAGUUUUUUUUAAUUAAGCAAUUCCAUUUGAUUGAAAAAAAUCAACAAAAAAUAAACACCGUUUACUCUUAGACAAA